AGUUCUCGUUGAUGAUCGGUGCUUGCACCGAGAUUCAACAUGGAACGAGUGGCGGACGGGUGAGUAACACGUGGGUAACCUGCCCUUAAGUGGGGGAUAACAUUUGGAAACAGAUGCUAAUACCGCAUAGAUCCAAGAACCGCAUGGUUCUUGGCUGAAAGAUGGCGUAAGCUAUCGCUUUUGGAUGGACCCGCGGCGUAUUAGCUAGUUGGUGAGGUAAUGGCUCACCAAGGCGAUGAUACGUAGCCGAACUGAGAGGCUGAUCGGCCACAUUGGGACUGAGACACGGCCCAAACUCCUACGGGAGGCAGCAGUAGGGAAUCUUCCACAAUGGACGCAAGUCUGAUGGAGCAACGCCGCGUGAGUGAAGAAGGCUUUCGGGUCGUAAAACUCUGUUGUUGGAGAAGAAUGGUCGGCAGAGUAACUGUUGCCGGCGUGGCGGUAUCCAACCAGAAAGCCACGGCUAACUACGUGCCAGCAGCCGCGGUAAUACGUAGGUGGCAAGCGUUAUCCGGAUUUAUUGGGCGUAAAGCGAGCGCAGGCGGUUUUUUAAGUCUGAUGUGAAAG
rnacentral:rRNA from 1 species